rnacentral:rRNA from 1 species
UACGAAGGGUGCAAGCGUUACUCGGAAUUACUGGGCGUAAAGCGUGCGUAGGUGGUUCGUUAAGUCUGAUGUGAAAGCCCUGGGCUCAACCUGGGAAUGGCAUUGGAAACUGGCGACCUAGAGUGCGGUAGAGGGUAGUGGAAUUCCCGGUGUAGCAGUGAAAUGCGUAGAGAUCGGGAGGAACAUCUGUGGCGAAGGCGACUGCCUGGACCAGCACUGUCACUGAGGCACGAAAGCGUGGGGAGCAAACAGG